rnacentral:rRNA from 1 species
AUCAUGAUUUACAUUUGAGUGAGUGGCGAACUGGUGAGUAACACGUGGGAAACCUGCCCAGAAGCGGGGGAUAACACCUGGAAACAGAUGCUAAUACCGCAUAACAACUUGGACCGCAUGGUCCGAGCUUGAAAGAUGGCUUCGGCUAUCACUUUUGGAUGGUCCCGCGGCGUAUUAGCUAGAUGGUGGGGUAACGGCUCACCAUGGCAAUGAUACGUAGCCGACCUGAGAGGGUAAUCGGCCACAUUGGGACUGAGACACGGCCCAAACUCCUACGGGAGGCAGCAGUAGGGAAUCUUCCACAAUGGACGAAAGUCUGAUGGAGCAACGCCGCGUGAGUGAAGAAGGGUUUCGGCUCGUAAAACUCUGUUGUUAAAGAAGAACAUAUCUGAGAGUAACUGUUCAGGUAUUGACGGUAUUUAACCAGAAAGCCACGGCUAACUACGUGCCAGCAGCCGCGGUAAUACGUAGGUGGCAAGCGUUGUCCGGAUUUAUUGGGCGUAAAGCGAGCGCAGGCGG